ACAAUAUACACCAACAGUGCAAAAAAAAAAAAAAAAAACACAAAUAGCAAGAAAUGUUGUAUUCAGCUAAUGAUUCAGUGGACAUGCUUCCUACAAUGUAGCUGCUGGUGAAUUGGUUUUGGCUUAUUGAAACACUCUCUCCAGUCUAUAUACAAUCUCCUCAAACAGCAUAUAUCUAAUAUAUUUCUAUCUUUUUUACCAAACUUCAAGGGAAUUACUCCAAUCAAACCUAAUACUGAGGGCAGUGGCUGAAAAACCCAAUCAGAAAUAGAUCUGUCAGCAGAGACUAUGAUCAAAAAAAGUAAUUUUAAAUUAAUAUCAUUAUCUGAAGAGGUAAUGAUAUUAAUUUAUUAUCUGAUAUUAAUAUAUGAGGACAAUCUGCUAUGGAGCCUUGGUGGUCUAACAGUUAUAAUAUUGGAAUGGUUAUCAAAAGAUUCUCAGUUCAAUCCUGGGCUGAGGCAGAUUUUUUCUUCAGAUAAAUUAGUUAGUAAAUUCUAGUAUAAUUAUUA
rnacentral:tRNA from 1 species